CUGCCAUAUUGUGAGGAAGCCAAAGCUACAUGGAAAGGCCACAUACUGAUAUUCUGGUCACAAGGCCCACCCAACAGCCAGUACAAACCACCAGAUGCAUAUGAGAUGCAUCAGAUGAUUCAAAUGAUUCCAGCCCCUAGAGGCUUGGAACCUUCUUCCAACUUCUGCCUUGGAACCUUCCAGCGGAGGCCCAAGCAUCAUGGAACAGAGGUAAAGCAACUCCAACGUGCCCUAUUGGAAUUUCUAAACUCUCAGCAACCCAAUACAGGAAGUUCAAGUUCCCCUUCACAAUACAGGAAGUUCAAGUCCCCCUUCUUCUCACAGUUGGCCACAGAGUGUAAAACAUAAGUGGUUGUUCAUACCAUUAAGUUUGAGGUAAUUUUUAACUUAACCAGAAUAGCCAACCAUAGCCUUUAUUGGCAGGUUCAGCUCUUGGGGGCUACCAUGUAAGAGGGUCACAGACCAACUAAAGAAAUUCCCAAGCAUUGUGAUCAGGGUGGAGGGGCCUGAAACUCUGGUCUAGAUGGUGAAAGCUGGAGAUGGGUAUGGAGUGUGGACUCAGUCAUGACUUUUCUACCCCUGAGGGUGGAGUGGGAUUGCCCUGGGGUGGCAAUAUGCCUCAGAGGGAAAGGACAGGCUUCAGCAUUAGGUGGUCCUGGGUUCCAUCUUUCCUAUCUCCUUUCUCACUAUCUCAUAGUUUGAAUGAAUCAGGCCAUCUCUGUGGGCCUCCCAAGGGGAUAACAAUAUCCUUCUUGCAGGAUGCUUGUGCAGAUUAAAUAAGAAUAUAGGUGGCUUGCUUGACACAAAGACUCUUAAUAGAUAUGCUCAUAAAAGGUCCUUUGGCUACCAGUUCAAACUUGCAAUAAAGAGGAAGUGUUGGUGAGAAAGGUGAUACAGGACACAUCUUCUGAGGUAAAGAUGGGAAGAAGAACUGGCAUGUGACUUACCUUAUCUCAAGGUUUGAAUGUGUAGAAAAGAGGCUUCAGGAGGUGACAGCAGAUGGGAGUUUCAGCUUUAUUAACAGCAACAAUUGUCCAAUGACUGCCAAAAGUAGGGCUGCACUGGAGCCUGGACUUUUCUCUAAGAGGAGAUCUUGAUUGAUUGAUUGUAUCAAGUUUGAACACAGGGGUGCUUUAACCACUCAGCCACAUCCCCAGCCCUCUUUUAUUUUUUAUUUUUACUUUGAGAUAGUCUCUCUAUGAGUUGCUCAGGCUGGUCUCGAAUUUCAAUCUUCCUACCUGAGCCUCCCGAGUCACUGGGAUUACAGGCAUGCACCACUGAGCCCAGCUAAGAGAUCUUUAAUUAAUGAUUCAUGUUAAUGGUUAUGGGAUUAUUCAGACUUUCUAUUCCUUUGUCAGUUUUGGUCACUUGUGUUUUUCUAGGACUUCUGCAUUUUGUGUAUUUUGUAUAUUCAAAUGAAUUGAUAUAAAGCCAUCCAAAUGUCUUUUUUUUUUUAAUUUUUUAU
rnacentral:lncRNA from 1 species